AUGUGNGGAUGAAGAAGGAUCUUU
rnacentral:rRNA from 1 species